UAGUGGAUAAAAUAGAAAAAUAUUUGUUCCCUGACCGGGAAUCGAACCCGGGCCGCGGCGGUGAGAGCGCCGAAUCCUAACCACUAGACCACCAGGGAAUCCGUACAAAUUUUCGACAGGACAUAUUCUGUUGGUCCAUCACGCAGACGCUGAGAAAGAACAAGACUUUGUUAACGGAGAUCCUGUGUGCGGACUCCAGCUACAUCCUUCAGCAUGUUCAGUAGGAGAGAACAGUGACUAAGCAGGACUACAAAAACCUAAACAUCCCCAAUCAGUCCGAUGAGAAGAAAGCUUAAAUUCUUGUUAAUCUAACUGCACUGUCCAAUUUACGGUAUUUGUUACAGUGAAAGGAUACCAUGCUAUUGUUUGAAGAGAGUGCACAGUUAUGAACUUGAAAAUGUAUUAAUAAACCAAUUGGGCACAUUUGGGUAGUCCUGAUACAACAUUUUGAACAGAUAUGCAAUGGUUCAUUGGAUCAGUCUAAAACGUUGCACAUACACUGCUGCCAUCCUGUGGCCAUAAUCUAAAUUACACCUGGGCUGAAAUAAUACAUUAUGGCCUUUCUCUUGCAUUUCAAAGAUGAUGGUCCAAAAAAAAUAAACGCAUGUUUUUUUCUUUGUA